rnacentral:rRNA from 1 species
AACGUAGGAGACAAACGUUAUCCGGAGUUACUGGGCGUAAAGGGCGUGUAGGCGGUUAGUUAAGUCUGGCGUGAAAGCUCUCGGCUAAACCGGGAGAGGUCGUCGGAUACUGGCAAACUAGAGGAUGGUAGAGGCGUGUGGAAUUCCGGGUGUAGUGGUGAAAUGCGCAGAUAUCUGGGGGAAGGCCGGCGGCGAAGGCGCCAUUCUGGGAAAUUCCUGACACUGAGGCACGAAAGCGUGGGGAGCAAACAGG